UCCCUAGUGGUCUAGUGGUUAAGAUUUCAUGCUUCCAAUGCAGGGAACACGGGUUUGAUUCCUGGUUGGGGAA
rfam:Ovis aries breed Texel chromosome 1, whole genome shotgun sequence.